CUGAGACAGGAGAGCCGGAGACCCGGAGACUGAGACAGGAGAGCCGGAGACUGAGACAGGAGAGCCGGAGACUGAGACAGGAGAGCCGGAGACUGAGACAGGAGAGCCGGAGACUGAGACAGGAGAGCCGGAGACUGAAACAGGAGAGCCGGAGACUGAGACAGGAGAGCCGGAGACUGAAACAGGAGAGCCGGAGACUGAGACAGGAGAGCCGGAGACUGAGACAGGAGAGCCGGAGACUGAGACAGGAGAGCCGGAGACUGAGACAGGAGAGCCGGAGACUGAGACACGAGAGCCGGAGACCGAGACAGGAGAGCCGGAGACCGAGACAGGAGAGCCGGAGACUGAGACAGGAGCCACAUCCAACCAACUACCCCAGAGACAGGAGCCAUAUCCAACCAACUACCCCAGAGACAGGAGCCAUAUCCAACCAACUACCCCAGAGACAGGAGCCAUAUCCAACCAACUACCCCAGAGACAGGAGCCAUAUCCAACCAACUACCCCAGAGACAGGAGCCAUAUCCAACCAACUACCCCAGAGACAGGAGCCAUAUCUAACCAACUACCCCAGAGACAGGAGACAUAUCUAAACAACUACCCCAGAGACAGGAGCCAUAUCCAACCAACUACCCCAGAGACAGGAGCCAUAUCCAACCAACUACCCCAGAGACAGGAGCCAUAUCCAACCAACUACCCCAGAGACAGGAGCCAUAUCCAACCAACUACCCCAGAGACAGGAGCCAUAUCCAACCAACUACCCCAGAGACAGGAGCCAUAUCCAACCAACUACCCCAGAGACAGGAGCCAUAUCCGGCUGAGUAGCCCCAGAGCCUGUCCUGGUCCUUGAGAUGACCACCACUAGGCCAUAAAGACACAGAACCACUAGUCUAGACACUUAUUUGUCCUGGGUUAUAUUCACACCAAACGGAAGAAAAAGGAACUGAAACAGAGAGAGACUACCUGAACUUGUGCAAUUAGAAAUGCUUGUUUUAAUUUGACUUCCUUGCUCACUCUGCUAUUUCAAAACUAAUGUGAAAAAGAUGGAAGGUCCCAUAAACACAAGAAAACAGCCCCGCCUUUACAAGGUUCCAUAACUAAAAGGGCCACCUACACAACAGGAUGCCGCAUGCAGAGAUACAGCCCUGCCUUUACAAGGUUCCAUAACUAAAAGGGCCACCUACACAACAGGAUGCCGCAUGCAGAGAUACAGCCCCGCCUUUACAAGGUUCCAUAACUAAAAGGGCCACCUACACAACAGGAUGCCGCAUGCAGAGAUACAGCCCUGCCUUUACAAGGUUCCAUAACUAAAAGGGCCACCUACACAACAGGAUGCCGCAUGCAGAGAUACAGCCCCGCCUUUACAAGGUUCCAUAACUAAAAGGGCCACCUACACAACAGGAUGCCGCAUGCAGAGAUACAGCCCCGCCUUUACAAGGUUCCAUAACUAAAAGGGCCACCUACACAACAGGAUGCCGUAUGCAGAGAUACAGCCCCGCCUUUACAAGGUUCCAUAACUAAAAGGGCCACCUACACAACAGGAUGCCGCAUGCAGAGAUACAGCCCCGCCUUUACAAGGUUCCAUAACUAAAAGGGCCACCUACACAACAGGAUGCCGUAUGCAGAGAUACAGCCCUGCCUUUACAAGGUUCCAUAACUAAAAGGGCCACCUACACAACAGGAUGCCGUAUGCAGAGAUACAGCCCUGCCUUUACAAGGUUCCAUAACUAAAAGGGCCACCUACACAACAGGAUGCCGCAUGCAGAGAUACAGCCCCGCCUUUACAAGGUUCCAUAACUAAAAGGGCCACCUACACAACAGGAUGCCGUAUGCAGAGAUACAAUCCUACCUUUACUGAUUCAUCUUCAACAUUUCCGGCACAUUGAACUUUGUACAGAUAUUUAUGCUUUUCCUAAUUAACUGCUUUCACUUCCAAUACUUCCUUUUUAACUGCUGUUUGAAGUGGAAUUAAAACCAUUCUAUUUCA